GAUGAACGCUGGCGGCGUGCCUAAUACAUGCCAGUCGAGCGAACGGACGAGAAGCUUGCUUCUCUGAUGUUAGCGGCGGACGGGUGAGUAACACGUGGAUAACCUACCUAUAAGACUGGGAUAACUUCGGGAAACCGGAGCUAAUACCGGAUAAUAUUUUGAACCGCAUGGUUCAAAAGUGAAAGACGGUCUUGCUGUCACUUAUAGAUGGAUCCGCGCUGCAUUAGCUAGUUGGUAAGGUAACGACUUACCAAGGCAACGAUGCAUAGCCGACCUGAGAGGGUGAUCGGCCACACUGGAACUGAGACACGGUCCAGACUCCUACGGGAGGCAGCAGUAGGGAAUCUUCCGCAAUGGGCGAAAGCCUGACGGAGCAACGCCGCGUGAGUGAUGAAGGUCUUCGGAUCGUAAAACUCUGUUAUUAGGGAAGAACAUAUGUGUAAGUAUCUGUGCACAUCUUGACAGUACCUAAUCAGAAAGCCACGGCUAACUACGUG
rnacentral:rRNA from 1 species